CCACAAACAGUCUAUUAUUGGCCACAGAGAUGCAGACACCGAUGUGUUUUCCUGGUCGAAUUUCAUUGUUGUUGCACUGUAAAAGAUUGGAAACCACAAGAAUAAACAGGCCACCGGCGUAAGAUGAUCUUAGCGGUAAACCGUCACAGCGACCGAAGUCCCUCGGUGAUACAUUAAUGAGGUCAUCAUUUGGACACAAAGAACAUUGAAUGUACUGGCAUCUCAAUGAAAUACCCACUUAAUCUGGUGGUACAGGGAUGUGAGACGGGCCAGAGAUGACGUACCAGUUUAACGGCCUCCUGUGCAGCGUCUUUAGUGCAGAACGUGACGAAGGCGUAGCCUCGGUUCAGGCCGCUGAGAGGGUCCAUCAUCAGGCGAAGGUCCCAGAUAGGACCAGCCUUCUCGAACAGCGGGACCAGCUCGUCUUCAAACAGGUCUCUGGGGAUCUUGCCAACGAAUAUCUGCCAAGUGGAAAGAGAUACGAUUCAAAUCAGAGGAAGAGUUGUGACCCACGCUGUGGUUGUACUGGUGUGUGUCCUGUCAGGUCUUAGCGGUUAGUCAUCAUUGUAACCAAGGUUACUACAGAGUAGACAUGGUCAUCAUUUGGACACCAGGUAGAGUAGGCGGUGAUCAGAGAGGGCCGUACCUCUGUACCGAUGGUGGGCUGAACCCCGGAGUGGGCCGACUCUGGGGGGGGGCCCCCAUACUUCCUCUGGCCUGUGGUCACAUCGAGUGUGUAGCCAGUCCUCUGCAGCAGGGCCUGUCAACACCAUGGAGGGGUUUAAACGCAGUGAGACUGCCGCUCUUCAGGGAGAGCGGUUUAAAUAUAGGCGUACACCAAGUGGAUGGUCAGCAGUGUUUGUGCUUGACUGCAAUGUUGCUUUGAUACUUGCUACUACCCAAAUAUAUUCCAACAGUCAAGUAACAAUAAAGGUUUCCAGGGUUCAAUGUGGACUCACUUUGAUUUUGGCCUCAUCUGGUCCUUUAUUGGAGUCUGACACUUUGGUCCCUUGUUUCUCUCGCUGUCUGUACGUCUUCAUAACUCCACAAAGAAAGGCACUUUUGUUCUUCAAAGGAACCAGAAUAAUGUAUACCAUCAGAACAACACUUCCACCAUCUCACGUUGUGCUGAAGAAUGCAACCCCAGCUUAUUAGGAUCCUCCAAUAGGAUGUUAUGACCAGUGUCAUCAUACCUGAACAUGUGAGAGGUCGCUCUCCUUGAACUGCAGCAGGACUUGCAGAGCUCCGUCCUCGUUGAACUCCUUCAGGGCCUCGAUCGCCCGGUCAUCCAGGUCACUGUGUGACACCAGUCCUGUUGGCAGCCGAACGCACAACGUACACAACAAGCAGCUGACAAUUAAAACCCAAUGGAGCUGCAGUGCCUUUCUAUGAUCAGGAUUUUAGGCCAACUUGAUAAUGCAGUAGGCUUUUAUGCUGUGAUGGACCGUUAACCCAUUAUAAUUCUGAAUUUCUGGUCUAAUGGAGAAAUGUUUAGAAGGCAGGCUGUACUUUAUUCCCUAAGCAGUAUUUUUCGCCCCACUAAUCAUAACAGAUGUGAGCGUGAAACAUGAUACGCAUGUUCCCUCUAUGGUGUGGCUCACGCUCUUAAUCAGUCUGCCAGCAUUUGGGUCUACAGAGGCGCCAUCACCUGUCCCAAACUGCCACCAAGCAGACAGCUGCUGCUGCUAUUGUUUCUGAUUUGUCCCCAUCUGGUUGAAAUAGCAAGGCAAAGUGAUUUCCCACCAUUACACCUAAGUCCUGAAAUGACCCCUGGAUUGCUACUGAAACUCCUCCCUCUUGUGAGUGUGUAUAUCUUACAAACGUGAGUAGGGCAAAGUACACCAUGUAACCAUAUGCAGGUGAUAUUUUAACUGUCUUUUUAGAGACAUAUUUAAAUGGUGAUUAGGGCCAGGUUAAUAUUAAUCCAUCCAAUUGAACACUAUUGUUACUCCUGAGAAUAAGAAUAAAGUGUUAUUACAGUGAGAGGAACAACUUAAGUGAUUUACAAUGCAACUUCACUAGAAAGUGUAUAAUUAACAAAGUGUAGCACUGCAGUACCCAUUUUGGUAAGAAACCACAAAAAGUUGCUUUAAAAUAACCAAUUCCCACAUUCAAAAAGGCAAAGAAGAUAACAGCACAUGCAAAAGUUUGCAUCAAUAAAAUGCAAGUAUAUGAAUAUACAGAGACAUUCAUUUGUCUUACCUGCUAUGUAAAUUUCAUCUAGUUUUUCAGCAACUUUCUGUGGUAAACCAGCUUCUAAUAAAGUCUGGAAGUGCUCAGAAUGGGUAACUGCAGCAGAGGUGUCCAUUGGUUCUUCUGGACCAUUUCCAUUAAUAUGUUCUGUGGCCAUGUCUCCAGAAAUCUGUGUAAAGGCAAUGAGCCAAAUGAAUGCGUGAUCGUGGUAACAUGUGGAUGUUGUGUGGACAAACGGCUUGUACAUGGGGAGGGGAGGGGGGGCAAGAUCAUGUAUUUAGUGAAUUAUAUUUGCAAUAAAUAAACUUGGCUUGAGUACGAUUAUGCAACAGAGACCAAUUUCAGGCAGUAAAUCAAACCUGACCCAAAUAUGUAUAGAGCACAAAAAAAAGGUUAGACUUUGUCUUUGUCCUCAAAACUACAAUAACACUGCAUAACUCAGAUCUUGAAGCUAUACAAAACUAAUGGCAAUUUCAGAGUGCAUUAAUUGUCAAUACACUUCUGAAAGUUGGCAAUACCAGUUGAAUAUUUGUGAAUACGGGAAUCUCAUUUGUUUCAAAGUUCGUGCAUGCAGAACCAAGUGGCUGUUGCAGCGGUCCAGUGUAUUCUCCAAAGUACAUGUUAGCUCUGCUGCUGCCUCCAGCAGGCUAGAUGCUCAUCCACGUGUUCCUUCAGCGGCUGAGCCCCAGCUUCCGGUGGCUGACCAGUGAACAAGCAUGUAUCGUAUAGCAUACUGUACCAAAACUGACAACAAAUCUAACUUGAAAUCAUAUGAACUGGAACGGUGAAUCUAUAACUAAAGUUUUUAUUUUACGCUUCCGUUACAAAAUUAAGACAUGAUGCAAGUUGCUACUAUUUAUCAUUGUUUGUCUGUUUCUGGACUGAGGGCCAAUAAGCACAUUAAAGUGAUUCCUUAUCGAUCUAAGUUACUGCACAUGCUUUCCGUGUGUAGCGAAACAUCUUCCACGAUGGUCGAAUAACAUUUUAAUGCAGCCCCCUAUAUAAAGACAGACCCGGCCACCUUAACAACCCAUCCGUGCAUCGAGACGUACUAAUAUUAUUGCAUAUAGCAGCAGGCUUCAGUCAGAGGGAGGGGCUGGUUAACACGUUGGUGCUAGCUAGCUAGUCUGCACGGCUAAAGCUACUGUUGCCUCCUCUUUGGUUAGAAGUACAAUAACAAAGCUCAUCCAUUGUCGUUCGUUGGAAGUUGGUCGAAAUAAAUAUUAUAUCCUAGUGUAUCCAUGUGCACACGUUAAACAAACAAUGAACCAUAAAAAGCAGCACCACACAGGAAGCUUGUUUUCAGCAGCUAAUGAUAGCCACCGUGACAAUGAGCCGAUCUGUCAGACGGGCUAGCUCCACUUAGCAUCUUCGCUAGCUCAUCUGCUCAGCAUUAUAUCAAGUCCUUCCUCAAACGCAAUGUAGCAAUGUUAACGUAUCGAUAGCUAAACCAAGCCGUACACCGUGGCCGUCCUCUCGGGGGCCCGCUAAGGCAGAGCUAGCUGCGGGUCCGCAGCGUGCCGCCGGAGGGAGAGUCCAUUUUCAAAACGCCGGCUGGAGAACUCAGCCAGUUCACAUUGUUUCAAACACCAGCACCGCGCACACUUCAGGAAACCAACUAUUCAACAUUCAUACGACUAAUUGACAUGUGCCAUACCUGCCGAUGGAUCACCAAAUUGUGUUGUGUUGAUAAUUUCGGAAGAUAAAUGUGAUAAUAAAAAGAGAAAAGUGUAAAACUCCCGGCACUGGUCCGGCUCCAGUCAUUCACUCUUGA